rnacentral:rRNA from 1 species
UACGUAGGGGCCGAGCGUUGUCCGGAGUUAUUGGGCGUAAAGCGCGCGCAGGCGGCCUCGCGCGCCCGACGUGAAAGCCCCCGGCUUAACCGGGGAGGGUCGUUGGGGACGGCGGGGCUUGAGGGCGGGAGAGGGCGGUGGAAUUCCCGGUGUAGUGGUGAAAUCCGUAAAUAUACGAAGGAACGCCAAAAGCGAAGGCAGCUCUCUGGGUCCCUACCGACGCUGGGGUGCGAAAGCAUGGGGAGCGAACAGG